UGCUUUCUUUUCCCGACCCCAAGCUUUCCUUUCAGGAAGAAGGUGAGUUGCUGACCCCAGUCCGCCUCGCCCGACCCCUCUUAUCCACCCGACCCCGGUUCCGUCUCGCCCGACCCUGUCUGUUCCGCCGACCCUUAUCCGCCUCGCCCGAGGGUUCGGCUGUGAUCUUUUCCUUCAACCCGAGGGUGUAUGUGUAAACUUAGGAACUCUUCAGCGCUUGCGUCUGAGGACCCCUAGUAUAUCACAUUCUCUAGUUCAAGGAUCAGAUCAUAAGUUCCUUUCCUACCCUUACCUCUUGAUCAUCACCAGCUCUCUUGAACCUCCC
rnacentral:lncRNA from 1 species